rnacentral:rRNA from 1 species
CUACGGGCCGCUCCAGUGAGGAAUAUUGCACAAUGGGGGGAACCCUGAUGCAGCAACGCCGCGUGGAGGAUGACGCAUUUCGGUGUGUAAACUCCUUUUAUAUGUCAAGAAAAUGACGGUAGCAUAUGAAUAAGCACCGGCUAACUCCGUGCCAGCAGCCGCGGUAAUACGGAGGGUGCAAGCGUUACUCGGAAUCACUGGGCGUAAAGGACGCGUAGGCGGGCUUGUAAGUCAGGUGUGAAAUCCUACAGCUUAACUGUAGAACUGCACUUGAAACUACGAGCCUAGAGUAUGGGAGGGGCAGAUGGAAUUAGUGGUGUAGGGGUAAAAUCCGUAGAUAUCACUAGGAAUACCUAAAGCGAAGGCGAUCUGCUGGAACAUAACUGACGCUAAGGCGUGAAAGCGUGGAGAGCAAACAGGAUUAGAUACCCUCGUAGUC